rnacentral:rRNA from 1 species
GCCAUCGGAUGUGCCCAGAUGGGAUUAGCUAGUAGGUGGGGUAACGGCUCACCUAGGCGACGAUCCCUAGCUGGUCUGAGAGGAUGACCAGCCACACUGGAACUGAGACACGGUCCAGACUCCUACGGGAGGCAGCAGUGGGGAAUAUUGCACAAUGGGCGCAAGCCUGAUGCAGCCAUGCCGCGUGUAUGAAGAAGGCCUUCGGGUUGUAAAGUACUUUCAGCGGGGAGGAAGGGAGUAAAGUUAAUACCUUUGCUCAUUGACGUUACCCGCAGAAGAAGCACCGGCUAACUCCGUGCCAGCAGCCGCGGUAAUACGGAGGGUGCAAGCGUUAAUCGGAAUUACUGGGCGUAAAGCGCACGCAGGCGGUUUGUUAAGUCAGAUGUGAAAUCCCCGGGCUCAACCUGGGAACUGCAUCUGAUACUGGCAAGCUUGAGUCUCGUAGAGGGGGGUAGAAUUCCAGGUGUAGCGGUGAAAUGCGUAGAGAUCUGGAGGAAUACCGGUGGCGAAGGCGGCCCCCUGGACGAAGACUGACGCUCAGGUGCGAAAGCGUGGGGAGCAAACAGGAUU